GAGGGUAUAGCUCAAGUGGCAGAGUGCAUGCUUAGCAUGCACGAGGCCCUGGGUUCAAUCCCCCAUACCUCCU
rnacentral:tRNA from 1 species